rnacentral:rRNA from 1 species
AUUGAACGCUGGCGGCAUGCCUUACACAUGCAAGUCGAACGGUAACAGGUCUUCGGAUGCUGACGAGUGGCGAACGGGUGAGUAAUACAUCGGAACGUGCCUAGUAGUGGGGGAUAACUACUCGAAAGAGUGGCUAAUACCGCAUGAGAUCUACGGAUGAAAGCGGGGGAUCGCAAGACCUUGUGCUACUAGAGCGGCCGAUGGCAGAUUAGGUAGUUGGUGGGAUAAAAGCUUACCAAGCCGACGAUCUGUAGCUGGUCUGAGAGGACGAUCAGCCACACUGGGACUAAGGCACGGCCCAGACUCCUACGGGAGGCAGCAGUGGGGAAUUUUGGACAAUGGGCGCAAGCCUGAUCCAGCAAUGCCGCGUGCAGGAUGAAGGCCUUCGGGUUGUAAACUGCUUUUGUACGGAACGAAAAGCCCCGGGUUAAUACCUGGGGUCAUGACGGUACCGUAAGAAUAAGCACCGGCUAACUACGUGCCAGCAGCCGCGGUAA